rnacentral:rRNA from 1 species
ACGGCCUAACACAUGCAAGUCGAGCGGAUGAGUGGAGCUUGCUCCAUGAUUCAGCGGCGGACGGGUGAGUAAUGCCUAGGAAUCUGCCUGGUAGUGGGGGACAACGUUUCGAAAGGAACGCUAAUACCGCAUACGUCCUACGGGAGAAAGCAGGGGACCUUCGGGCCUUGCGCUAUCAGAUGAGCCUAGGUCGGAUUAGCUAGUUGGUGGGGUAAAGGCCUACCAAGGCGACGAUCCGUAACUGGUCUGAGAGGAUGAUCAGUCACACUGGAACUGAGACACGGUCCAGACUCCUACGGGAGGCAGCAGUGGGGAAUAUUGGACAAUGGGCGAAAGCCUGAUCCAGCCAUGCCGCGUGUGUGAAGAAAGUCUUCGGAUUGUAAAGCACUUUAAGUUGGGAGGAAGGGCAGUAAGUUAAUACCUUGCUGUUUUGACGUUACCAACAGAAUAAGCACCGGCUAACUUCGUGCCAGCAGCCGCGGUAAUACGAAGGGUGCAAGCGUUAAUCGGACAUUACUGGGCGUAAAGCGCGCGUAGGUGGUUUGGUACAGAUGGAUGUGAAAUCCCCGGGCUCC